rnacentral:rRNA from 1 species
CCUACGGGUGGCAGCAGUGGGGAAUAUUGGGCAAUGGAGGAAACUCUGACCCAGCAACGCCGCGUGAAUGAUGAAGGUUUUCGGAUUGUAAAGUUCUUUUCUAAGGGAAGACGAAAGUGACGGUACCUUAGGAUUAAGUCUCGGCUAACUACGUGCCAGCAGCCGCGGUGAUACGAAGGAGGCAAGCUUUAUCCGGAAUGACUGGGCGUAAAGGGUGCGUAGGGGGUAUGACAAGUUGGUAGCGUAAAUCCGAGGCUUAACCUCGGCACUACUACCCAAACUGUUGGACUCGAGUGCAGGAGGGGCAAAGGGAAUUCCGAGUGUAGCGGUGGAAUGCGUAGAUAUUAGGAGGAACACCAGUGGCGAAGGCGAUUUGCUGGACUGUAACUGACACUGAGGCACGAAAGCGUGGGGAGCAAACAGGAUUAGAUACCCUAGUAGUC